CCUACGGGUGGCUGCAGUGGGGAAUAUUGGACAAUGGGCGAAAGCCUGAUCCAGCCAUGCCGCGUGUGUGAAGAAGGCCUUCGGGUUGUAAAGCACUUUCAGUGGGGAAGAAAGCCUUGGGGCUAAUACCCUCGAGGAAGGACAUCACCCACAGAAGAAGCACCGGCUAACUCCGUGCCAGCAUCCGCGGUAAUACGGAGGGUGCGAGCGUUAAUCGGAAUUACUGGGCGUAAAGCGCGCGUAGGCGGUCUGAUAAGCCGGUUGUGAAAGCCCCGGGCUCAACCUGGGAACGGCAUCCGGAACUGUCAGGCUAGAGUGCAGGAGAGGAAGGUAGAAUUCCCGGUGUAGCGGUGAAAUGCGUAGAGAUCGGGAGGAAUACCAGUGGCGAAGGCGGCCUUCUGGACUGACACUGACGCUGAGGUGCGAAAGCGUGGGUAGCAAACAGGAUUAGAUACCCGGGUAGUC
rnacentral:rRNA from 1 species